UCAUAUUCAAUUUCUUCUAAUCUUAUUUGUCGAUUUAAAAAAAAAAUCAAUAAUUUGACAUUGUUUUUACAGAGUGAUUUUUUGGUGAUUUUUGUUGAACAAAGUUUUUGAUUAUCAUUUUUUUUCAGUCUAUGGAGAUAGCCAACCCAUAUUUUGGUUUGGCAACCUUGUAUGGCCAGUGAUUGAGACACAUUCUCACACAUGCAAUCGUGUAUUGCAGCAAUGGCGUAGUUGGCUUCUCCUUUGCCUUAUCAUAACAUAAAUCUGGAAGAUAUUGAACCAAUGCCCUUUUGAUCCGCAGUUUGAAUGCUUUUCACUCAUAAUGUAUUCAAAGAAAUUUUCAGAGAUGAGCUUCCAAAAUUAUUUGCAUGUUCAGAUCUGAUAAAUAUUAGGUCGAGAUACAUAUUUAGAUAUGUAUGAAAUGUUUUCAAUUUCUCGUCUAUCUAGUUAUUUGUUUAUGAUUUUAUAUGUAUCUCGUAUUUUUUAAGUAUUAUUGAAGUUAACAUAACAAAAGAUACAUGUUUAUAAGCUUAUAGAUACAUAUUGUAUUAUCUUAUAUCAUUGGUGUACUAUUUAUGCAUUUAUAUGUAUCUCGUGCUGUUUAAAUUUAUUGAAAUAAGCAUACUAAUAUAUACAUGUUAGUAAGUUCAAUGAUACAUAUUGUAAUAUCUUGUAUAUUGAUUUUCUGUUUAUGUAUUUUUUUUUUAUGUAUCUAUUGUUUUUUAAGUUUCAUUGAAAUGAGUAUACCAAAAGACACACGUAUGUAAGCUUAAAGAUACAUAUUAUAUUAUUUGUAUCUCUGAUUAUUUCUUUAUGCAUUUAUAUGCAUCUCUUGUAUUUUUAAGUUAUGUUGAAAUAAGUAUUCCGAAGAUACAUAUUAGUAAGCUUUGACAUACAUAUUGUGGAGGAUGUUGUAUUAUAUGUAUCUAUAAUAAUUUAUUUUUAUGGAGUAGGAAAUGCAGCAUAACAAAGAAAGUGCACUUGGUUAAAGCGGACUUAAAUUUUUGUAUUCAUUUGAGAUAUGCCUCACUUUUUUGCAAGUAUGGGUCUCAAAAGGCGGAGAAUGAAAACUUUAGUGAGAAUGACGACCCACCGAGGCCAAGGAGCAGCUUCAUACCAAUGGGAAAAGAAUGUGUUCUGAAUAUUGAAGAGUAGUUGAAUAUUUAAAACUUUUCAUGAAGUUAGUUACUGCUUUUCACUGUUAUAUACACAUUAAGUGUUGUUUUGGGG
rnacentral:lncRNA from 1 species